rnacentral:rRNA from 1 species
UACGUAGGCAGCGAGCGUUGUUCGGAAUUACUGGGCGUAAAGCGUGCGUAGUCGGUAUUGAGAGUCGCGGGUGAAAUCCCAGGGCUUAACCCUGGAACUGCCUGCGAGACCUCAGUACUAGAGUGUGAGAGGGGAUAGUGGAAUACCAAGUGUAGCGGUGAAAUGCGUAGAGAUUUGGUGGAACACCGGUGGCGAAGGCGGCUAUCUGGCUCACAACUGACGAUCAGGCACGAAAGCGUGGGGAGCAAACAGG